GAUGAACGCUAGCUACAGGCUUAACACAUGCAAGUCGCGGGGCAGCAUGGGGGUUGCUUGCAAUCCCCGAUGGCGACCGGCGCACGGGUGAGUAACGCGUAUCCAACCUGCCCUUCACCACGGGAUAACCCGGCGAAAGUCGGACUAAUACCGUAUGUUGUCCAUUGACGGCAUCCGAUUUGGACGAAAGGUUUGGCGGUGAAGGAUGGGGAUGCGUCCGAUUAGCUGGACGGCGGGGUGACGGCCCACCGUGGCGACGAUCGGUAGGGGUUCUGAGAGGAAGGUCCCCCACACUGGAACUGAGACACGGUCCAGACUCCUACGGGAGGCAGCAGUGAGGAAUAUUGGUCAAUGGGCGUAAGCCUGAACCAGCCAAGUAGCGUGCAGGAUGACGGCCCUAUGGGUUGUAAACUGCUUUUAUGCGGGGAUAAAGUGGCCCACGUGUGGGUUUUUGCAGGUACCGCAGGAAUAAGGACCGGCUAAUUCCGU
rnacentral:rRNA from 1 species